GCCGAUUUAGCUCAGUUGGUAGAGCACCCGCCUUGUAAGCGGAAGGUCGUCAGUUCGACUCCGACAAUCGGCACCA
rnacentral:tRNA from 1 species